rnacentral:rRNA from 1 species
AUGAACGCUGGCGGAAUGCUUUACACAUGCAAGUCGAACGGCAGCACGGAGAGCUUGCUCUCUGGUGGCGAGUGGCGAACGGGUGAGUAAUAUAUCGGAACGUGUCCAAUAAUGGGGGAUAACGAGUCGAAAGAUUCGCUAAUACCGCAUACGCCCUACGGGGGAAAGCAGGGGAUCGUAAGACCUUGCGUUAAUGGAGCGGCCGAUAUCUGAUUAGCUUGUUGGUGAGGUAAAGGCUCACCAAGGCGACGAUCAGUAGCUGGUUUGAGAGAACGACCAGCCACACUGGAACUGAGACACGGUCCAGACUCCUACGGGAGGCAGCAGUGGGGAAUUUUGGACAAUGGGGGCAACCCUGAUCCAGCCAUUCCGCGUGAGUGAAGAAGGCCUUCGGGUUGUAAAGCUCUUUCGCGAGGGAAGAAAACUUAUGAUCGAAUAAAUCAUGAGGUUGACGGUACCUUGAUAAGAAGCACCGGCUAACUACGUGCCAGCAGCCGCGGUAAUACGUAGGGUGCGAGCGUUAAUCGGAAUUACUGGGCGUAAAGCGUGCGCAGGCGGUUUUGUAAGUCGGAUGUGAAAUCCCCGGGCUCAACCUGGGAACUGCGUUCGAAACUGCAAGGCUAGAGUGUGUCAGAGGGGGGUAGAAUUCCACGUGUAGCAGUGAAAUGCGUAGAGAUGUGGAGGAAUACCAAUGGCGAAGGCAGCCCCCUGGGAUAACA